AGCGAACGCUGGCGGCAGGCCUAACACAUGCAAGUCGAACGGGAACUUCGGUUCUAGUGGCCGACGGGUGAGUAACGCGUGGGAACGUACCUUUCGGUUCGGAAUAAUACCGGGAAACUUGUACUAAUACCGGAUACGCUCUUUGGGGGAAAGAUUUAUCGCCGAUGGAUCGGCCCGCGUCGGAUUAGCUAGUUGGUGGGGUAAUGGCUUACCAAGGCGACGAUCAGUAGCUGGUCUGAGAGGAUGAUCAGCCACACUGGGACUGAGACACGGCCCAGACUCCUACGGGAGGCAGCAGUGGGGAAUAUUGGACAAUGGGCGCAAGCCUGAUCCAGCCAUGCCGCGUGAGUGAUGAAGGCCUUAGGGUUGUAAAGCUCUUUUGUCCGGGAAGAUAAUGACUGUACCGGAAGAAUAAGCCCCGGCUAACUUCGUG
rnacentral:rRNA from 1 species